UACGUAGGUGGCAAGCGUUGUCCGGAUUUACUGGGCGUAAAGAGCGCGCAGGCGGUCGAUUUAGUCGCGUGUGAAAGCCCCCGGCUCAACUGGGGAGGGUCACGCGAUACUGAUCGACUCGAAGGCAGGAGAGGGUAGUGGAAUUCCCGGUGUAGUGGUGAAAUGCGUAGAUAUCGGGAGGAACACCAGUGGCGAAGGCGGCAUCCUGGACCGACACUGACACUGAGGAGCGAAAGCCAGGGGAGCAAACGGG
rnacentral:rRNA from 1 species